ACAAAAAUUGAUUUUUAGAAAAAUAGAAAUUAAUUUAGAAGAGAUGUUUUAAGAAUCUCCUUCUUCGUCGUCGUCUCAUUACGUACCGAGACGACGACGAAGAAGGAGAUUCGAGCAAGUUGAUGGGAUCCAUGGAAGCGGUGGAGGAAGACAGCGUUGGUGAGAAUGAAGAAGGCAGUGACGAGGAAACCAAAUUUGCGGAGCCUGAGGCUAAAAUUGAUAUGCUAGAGGCGCUCGAGUGGGAUGUGGACAGCUUCAAUGGUUUGGAGUAUUAUUCAUCUCCGGAUACGGACUAUUCAUCCGAUGAAGAGCAGCCUUAUCCCGACAUGGAAAAGGCUAAUAAACACUAUCGCAUCUACAAACGGCAGAUCAUCGAGAGCAAGAGUUUAGCUUAUUUUAUAACUACAAGAGCAUCUUCUCAUCGAUUAGCAUGGAACUUGAUGAAGCGCUUGUUGGUAAAAGGGAAGAUAUGGUGCAUGUCUGUCUCCAAAAACAUAAUCAACAUAAGGAUUUGAAUGUUGAGUUCGUUGAAGUUGUGAGAGGUAAUUUUCACGGAGGACCUAGAUCAAAGUCAUACAUUACAUUUAUGGCUAGGGAGAAGCCCGACGGACCUCUUGUCGAGUAUCAAGCCAAGUCUAUGCUUACUUUGGACGGCAAGAUGCAUCCCAUCCUCUGUAGACCAUCAUCUCCUACGCCAAAGCCUUGAAAACCAAUACUAUAAGAUAAUCCAUCCGCAUUUUUCUUGGUGUGUUAAAGGAUCAAAAGCAACAUCAUAAUUACACUUGGUAAAGGAGUAGGGAGGUCGUAACCAUGAUUUUGCCGCCUGAUGGCUUUCUUGGUCUGGGACAUCCUGCGCCUGUUCUAAAAGGUUCCUCCAUUCUCGCACAUCGGAUUGUGCUCAUAUCACAAUUAUAUUCGGGUUCUCUUGCAUACUCUCAAAAACGAAAUUGUUUCUUGUUUUUUAGAGAUGCCAUAAAAGCCAAAAAGGAAAAUUUAAGAUUUGAUGGCUUAUUUGCAUCAUGGUGAAAAUCAAAAAUAGAUUC